rnacentral:rRNA from 1 species
CAUGCCUUACACAUGCAAGUCGAACGGCAGCACGGACUUCGGUCUGGUGGCGAGUGGCGAACGGGUGAGUAAUGUAUCGGAACGUACCUUUCAGUGGGGGAUAACGUAGCGAAAGUUACGCUAAUACCGCAUAUUCUGUGAGCAGGAAGGCAGGGGAUCGCAAGACCUUGCGCUGAUUGAGCGGCCGAUAUCAGAUUAGCUAGUUGGUGAGGUAAAGGCUCACCAAGGCGACGAUCUGUAGCGGGUCUGAGAGGAUGAUCCGCCACACUGGAACUGAGACACGGUCCAGACUCCUACGGGAGGCAGCAGUGGGGAAUUUUGGACAAUGGGGGCAACCCUGAUCCAGCCAUGCCGCGUGAGUGAAGAAGGCCUUCGGGUUGUAAAGCUCUUUCGGCCGGGAAGAAAUCGCAUGGGCUAAUACCCUGUGCGGAUGACGGUACCGGCAUAAGAAGCACCGGCUAACUACGUGCCAGCAGCCGCGGUAAUACGUAGGGUGCGAGCGUUAAUCGGAAUUACUGGGCGUAAAGCGUGCGCAGGCGGUUUUUUAAGACAGGCGUGAAAUCCCCGGGCUCAACCUGGGAACUGCGCUUGUGAC